rnacentral:pre_miRNA from 1 species
CACGGUUGAUUGUGCCCGGACCGUGGGCGCGACGAAACCCACCGUCACGGUCCGAGCACAUCCAAACGUG